rnacentral:rRNA from 1 species
UACAGGCGGGAAGCCAUGGCGGCGACGCAGAGCCGGAACCCGAAAACCUGUCUCAGUUCGGAUUGGAGUCUGCAACCCGACUCCAUGAAGCUGGAUUCGCUAGUAAUCGCGCAUCAGCCACGGCGCGGUGAAUACGUUCCCGGGCCUUGUACACACCGCCCGUCAAGCCAUGGAAGCCGGGAGUGCCUGAAGUGCGUGAGCGCAAGCAGCGCCCUAAGGUAAAACCGGUGACUGGGGCUAAGUCGUAACAAGGUAAC